rnacentral:rRNA from 1 species
GAUGAACGCUGGCGGCGUGCCUAAUACAUGCAAGUCGAACGCAUAGCGAAAGGUGCUUGCACCUUUCAAGUGAGUGGCGAACGGGUGAGUAACACGUGGACAACCUGCCUCAAGGCUGGGGAUAACAUUUGGAAACAGAUGCUAAUACCGAAUAAAACUUAGUGUCGCAUGACACAAAGUUAAAAGGCGCUUCGGCGUCACCUAGAGAUGGAUCCGCGGUGCAUUAGUUAGUUGGUGGGGUAAAGGCCUACCAAGACAAUGAUGCAUAGCCGAGUUGAGAGACUGAUCGGCCACAUUGGGACUGAGACACGGCCCAAGCUCCUACGGGAGGCUGCAGUAGGGAAUCUUCCACAAUGGGCGAAAGCCUGAUGGAGCAACGCCGCGUGUGUGAUGAAGGCUUUCGGGUCGUAAAGCACUGUUGUAUGGGAAGAACAGCUAGAAUAGGAAAUGAUUUUAGUUUGACGGUACCAUACCAGAAAGGGACGGCUAAAUACGUG